CCCUUAGAUGUUCUGGGCCGCACGCGCGCUACACUGACGAAUGCAACGAGCUUAUAACCUUGGCCGAAAGGUCUGGGUAAUCUCCAAAUUUCGUCGUGAUGGGGAUAGAUUAUUGCAAUUAUUAAUCUUCAACGAGGAAUGCCUAGUAAGCGCAAGUCAUCAGCUUGCGUUGAUUACGUCCCUGCCCUUUGUACACACCGCCCGUCGCUCCUACCGAUUGAAUGGUCCGGUGAAGCGUUCGGACCGUGGCCUUUGGACGGUUCGCCGUACUGAUGCCGCGGGAAGAUACGCAAACCUUAUCAUUUAGAGGAAGGAGAAGUCGUAACA
rnacentral:rRNA from 1 species